rnacentral:lncRNA from 1 species
AGAUGGCGAGAAUGGGUGAGACGACUGGAUGGAUUUUCGUUUUACCCAGCCGCAAUAUGAAUAUAGAUGGGGCGUUAAGGUUUCGGUGGAUUUAUGGAUCAAGCAUUGUAUGGUUUCUGGGAGUUUUGACAGGGAUUUGGGAAUGGGGUGUCGAAGGGGGUGAGAUAUGAGGGGAACAUUAGGGUUUUACAAAAGGAAAACACAUCUUACCUUGAAGAUGGGGAAGACUACCCAGCUGGUAGAGGAGGACUCGCCAUUGCGCGAGAG